CAGCACCUCAAGUGGUCAGGAUGAUUACUGGGCCUAAAGCAUCCGUAGCCGGCGCUGUAAGUUUUCGGUUAAAUCUGUACGCUCAACGUACAGGCUGCCGGGAAUACUGCAGCGCUAGGGAGUGGGAGAGGUAGACGGUACUCGGUAGGAAGGGGUAAAAUCCUUUGAUCUAUUGAUGACCACCUGUGGCGAAGGCGGUCUACCAGAACACGUCCGACGGUGAGGGAUGAAAGCUGGGGGAGCAAACCGGAUUAGAUACCCGUGUAGUCC
rnacentral:rRNA from 1 species